ensembl:snRNA U2 U2 spliceosomal RNA
AUCGCUUCUAGGCCUUUUGGCUAAGAUCAAGUGUAGAAUCUAUGAAACAAAUGUCCAGAGCCUAUAAAACAAAAGUUACAAUCUAU